UUGACCAUCAAAUCGAAUGGACGUCUGAAAAAAUCAUACGAUAAUAGAAAGUCGCUGCGAGAAUUCAUUCGCUGCAAAUCGGGGUUUGUGCGCGCAAAAAUAUCUUACAAAACAAUUGACAGAAAACAUUUAAUCACACCCAAAAGAAUAAGAAGAAUAAAGAAAUAGCUGAGAUAGAUGGUGAAACGAAAAAACACCUUCCGCCAUUACCUUUACCAACAAUCCAACACCAGUGGUAAACAAUUUACCGGCACCCGAGAUGAAACGGGAGUACUAAUACAUAACAUUAUAUACAUAAAUAAAUUUCGAAAAAUAAGCAAAGUUACACGUGUUACAAAAAAAUAGAUAAGAGCAUUUUGUUAAUGACUAAAACAAGAGAGCUACGCGCACAAGCCGAAUAACGCAACAGAAGCAACGGAAAACACAGCUAAACAAUUAAUAAAUAAAAAAAAAAUGAGUGAUUCUUACAUUUAAGCAUGCAGUCGAAACUUACAGCAACAAAUUUUUAAACAAAAAUGUUUCAUCAUCUAGUCGAAUCAUGAAUUUAAUUAAGCAGCAACUAUGAAAAAGCAGUGCUUUUCAUAUUAAAACAUACAUACUACAUAGUACAUAGGAUGUAGAUUUAUAAUUUGUAAAAAUAUCAAACAAACACAAAAUUCGCAGAUGGUCUAAACAGCGGCAACAUAUUUCGGAUAAGCGUAAAUCAAAAAAUUAAAAAAAAACAAAAAAAAAAAAAGUGAGAGUCAUUUCACAAGUCAAAUAUGAUAAAUCUCUAAAAUAAUCUCUACCGAUCUCUCCAAGCAAGUGAUGAGCUAAAUUAAAUGCAUUCCCGCACAGCACACCAUUGAAAGCCUCAUCAUUACAAGUACGCGCACAUACAUACAUACAAUCACUUACCAAAAGCCCAUCCAAAAAUCGAUGUCUUGCAAGAAACGGCAGCAACAAAAACCACUAUUAUCAUAUCAUCAAUACCACAGCGACAAAAGUGUUGGCGUCAGACAAAAAGCUUGCAACAAAGAUCGCGGUUGGCGAGCGCACACAAUCAACCAUUACCGGCAAAGAUAGUGAUCAUCAAAAGUCGUAUUAUAAUCGUUUAAAUUUAAGCUUUCCAUACCAAAGAUGGCGCACAAUCAUAGAGACAGAGAUAUUCACAACUACAACCAAAACCACAAUCGCAACGUUGAAAAUCUUAAUCAAAAUCCGGCAGCACGUGGCGCACCUGAAUAUUUCGAAAAUCUCUUCUUGAAUGGAAAUUUCGCAGCCAAUGAAGAUGAGGAAAUGCUGGAUGUAGCCGCGGCGGCGGCGGCAUUUGCACAGCACAACAACAACUUAGCCAAUAACGCCAAUGAUGAACCCUGCUGUUGGGUAUUUGGUUAUGGUUCGCUAUGCUGGUAUCCCGGCUUCGAAUAUUCCAAAUGCAUAACGGGCUAUAUAAAGGGUUUCGUGCGGCGUUUCUGGCAGGGUAACACCACACAUCGUGGCACUGAAGAUAAGCCCGGUCGCGUUGCAACACUCAUUGAAGACAAAGAGGUGAGUGAAAUUAAUGGCAUCACCUGGGGUUGUGCUUAUAAAAUUACCGGCAGCACAGCGUUGGAUUAUCUCAAACAACGCGAAUGCACGCUAGGCGGUUACGUUAUCCUCGAAACAAAGUUCUUCCCGCGUGUCGCUUCCUUUGAUACACCAUUCAGCGGCGAAGCCGUUCCUGUUUUAGUGUACGUUGCAACUUCUGAGAAUUGCCACUGGCUCGGCGAAGACACGCACGAUAAUAUAGCCGAACAGAUUGUGGAGUGCCGUGGACCAAGCGGGCAUAAUGUAGAGUAUUUGUUGCGUCUAGCCGAUUUUAUGCGUGAGGAAAUGCCCGAUGUUGUGGAUCAACAUCUAUUCGAAUUGGAGUUUCUUGUACUGGAAAAGUUACACCAACGUCAAAUACCUCUGUGGACUGUGAUGGGUGUGUCGCCGGAACGUAUACGUCGCGACUCGCACGAAGAAAUUAAACGGCCACCCACAUUCGAAUUCACAUCGCGCAUUCAGGAGCGAAAAUUGCGUUGCUUGAAUAUAUGAUUUGAGAUUGCAGGACGCGCUAGUGCCGAAUUCAAGGCGUUUGUAGCCCACAAUAAAGCUGGCUGUAAUCAAUUGUUGCUUUUAUGAUAUAAGUAUGUGUGCAUACAGAAAAAAUUUUAUCUUACAUAUGUAUGUGGCCUUGAGAGCCAAAGUAGCCUAACGUUAAACAAAAAAAAAUCGUUACAGCUUAAAAUGCAUGACUAGAAUCGAAACUGUAAUAGCCCGAUGCACGCCCUUUUAGUUUUAUUUUACUAUAUUUAAUAGGUAGCAUCAUGUAGGUACAAUAAACUUGUCAGUGGUUUAUAGAUCCUUCUUUCUCAUUUUACUGAAGAUUUUUUGUUUUGUAUAUGAGGCACAUUUGGUUCUCAUGGCCUCAUAAGUAAAUGCAUGUUCGUAUUGCUGAAUACGGCAAAUAACUUGGGUAAUGAUUGAAAAUUUAAUUUUAGUAAUGAGUGCUUUAGUUGGCUCUCAUUUCAAGAACAAUUGGCUUUCAAUGUAUGCAAUUGUAAUGUAUUUUUUUACUACGAUAAUAGUACACUAACAUUAAUACUUUUAGAUGUAAGAGGCAAAAGAGAACUAGAUCUACUGUAAGAUAUUGCUUCCGCGCACAAUAUCUUUAGAAUUGAUGUAUGUAAUUUUGAUAAUGGCGUGAAAUG